rnacentral:rRNA from 1 species
GAUCCUGGCUCAGGAUGAACGCUAGCUACAGGCUUAACACAUGCAAGUCGAGGGGCAGCGAGAGCGUAGCAAUACGCUUGUCGGCGACCGGCGCACGGGUGAGUAACGCGUAUCCAACCUUCCCCUUAGUAGGGCAUAGCCCGGCGAAAGUCGGAUUAAUACCCUAUGUUUUUCCGAAGAUGGCAUCUGAUUUGGAAUAAAGAUUCAUCGCUAAGGGAUGGGGAUGCGUCCGAUUAGCUUGCCGGCGGGGUGACGGCCCACCGGGGCUUCGAUCGGUAGGGGUUCUGAGAGGAAGGUCCCCCACAUUGGAACUGAGACACGGUCCAAACUCCUACGGGAGGCAGCAGUGAGGAAUAUUGGUCAAUGGGCGUGAGCCUGAACCAGCCAAGUAGCGUGAGGGACGACGGCCCUAUGGGUUGUAAACCUCUUUUGCAGGGGAAUAAAGUGCGGCACGCGUGCCGUUUUGCAUGUACCCUGAGAAUAAGGACCGGCUAAUUCCGUGCCAGCCGCCGC